rnacentral:rRNA from 1 species
CUAAUACCUGGUUGGGAUGACGGUACCCAAAGAAUAAGCACCGGCUAACUUCGUGCCAGCAGCCGCGGUAAUACGAAGGGUGCAAGCGUUACUCGGAAUUACUGGGCGUAAAGCGUGCGUAGGUGGUCGUUUAAGUCCGUUGUGAAAGCCCUGGGCUCAACCUGGGAACUGCAGUGGAUACUGGGCGACUAGAGUGUGGUAGAGGGUAGCGGAAUUCCUGGUGUAGCAGUGAAAUGCGUAGAGAUCAGGAGGAACAUCCAUGGCGAAGGCAGCUACCUGGACCAACACUGACACUGAGGCACGAAAGCGUGGGGAGCAAACAGGAUUAGAUACCCUGGUAGUCCACGCCCUAAACGAUGCGAAC